CCUAAGCUUCUUCUGUCCAGUAUCUUUUCCUAUAUAACGAUCUACAUAAACACAUAUCUCAUUUCUCAUAACAUGUUUCCAAAUAAUGUUAAUCUCUUAUUUUAAUUGUAUUUAAUAUCUCAUUUUUCUUUAUUUCAUUCGGUUACAAAACGUGGUUGUCUCUUAAUCUUUUGAACCAAGGUUAUUUUUAAAAAUCUUCUAUAUGCUCACAUCUCAAAUACUCUGUUCUAUUAUGUUCUAUCAUUAAUGAAUAUCCUUGUUUUAGCGUUCAAGCCUCUGUUCCGUAUAAAA
rnacentral:lncRNA from 1 species